AGCGUACACGGUGGAUGCCCUGGCAGUCAGAGGCGAUGAAGGACGUGCUAAUCUGCGAUAAGCGUCGGUGAGGUGAUAUGAACCGUUAUAACCGGCGAUUUCCGAAUGGGGAAACCCAGUGUGUUUCGACACACUAUCAUUAACUGAAUCCAUAGGUUAAUGAGGCGAACCGGGGGAACUGAAACAUCUAAGUACCCCGAGGAAAAGAAAUCAACCGAGAUUCCCCCAGUAGCGGCGAGCGAACGGGGAGGAGCCCAGAGCCUGAAUCAGUGUGUGUGUUAGUGGAAGCGUCUGGAAAGGCGUGCGAUACAGGGUGACAGCCCCGUACACAAAAAUGCACAUAUUGUGAGCUCGAUGAGUAGGGCGGGACACGUGGUAUCCUGUCUGAAUAUGGGGGGACCAUCCUCCAAGGCUAAAUACUCCUGACUGACCGAUAGUGAACCAGUACCGUGAGGGAAAGGCGAAAAGAACCCCGGCGAGGGGAGUGAAAAAGAACCUGAAACCGUGUACGUACAAGCAGUGGGAGCCUCUUAAUGGGGUGACUGCGUACCUUUUGUAUAAUGGGUCAGCGACUUAUAUUCUGUAGCAAGGUUAACCGAAUAGGGGAGCCGAAGGGAAACCGAGUCUUAACUGGGCGUUAAGUUGCAGGGUAUAGACCCGAAACCCGGUGAUCUAGCCAUGGGCAGGUUGAAGGUUGGGUAACACUAACUGGAGGACCGAACCGACUAAUGUUGAAAAAUUAGCGGAUGACUUGUGGCUGGGGGUGAAAGGCCAAUCAAACCGGGAGAUAGCUGGUUCUCCCCGAAAGCUAUUUAGGUAGCGCCUCGUGAAUUCAUCUCCGGGGGUAGAGCACUGUUUCGGCAAGGGGGUCAUCCCGACUUACCAACCCGAUGCAAACUGCGAAUACCGGAGAAUGUUAUCACGGGAGACACACGGCGGGUGCUAACGUCCGUCGUGAAGAGGGAAACAACCCAGACCGCCAGCUAAGGUCCCAAAGUCAUGGUUAAGUGGGAAACGAUGUGGGAAGGCCCAGACAGCCAGGAUGUUGGCUUAGAAGCAGCCAUCAUUUAAAGAAAGCGUAAUAGCUCACUGGUCGAGUCGGCCUGCGCGGAAGAUGUAACGGGGCUAAACCAUGCACCGAAGCUGCGGCAGCGACGCUUAUGCGUUGUUGGGUAGGGGAGCGUUCUGUAAGCCUGUGAAGGUGUGCUGUGAGGCAUGCUGGAGGUAUCAGAAGUGCGAAUGCUGACAUAAGUAACGAUAAAGCGGGUGAAAAGCCCGCUCGCCGGAAGACCAAGGGUUCCUGUCCAACGUUAAUCGGGGCAGGGUGAGUCGACCCCUAAGGCGAGGCCGAAAGGCGUAGUCGAUGGGAAACAGGUUAAUAUUCCUGUACUUGGUGUUACUGCGAAGGGGGGACGGAGAAGGCUAUGUUGGCCGGGCGACGGUUGUCCCGGUUUAAGCGUGUAGGCUGAUUUUCCAGGCAAAUCCGGAAAAUCAAGGCUGAGGCGUGAUGACGAGGCACUACGGUGCUGAAGCAACAAAUGCCCUGCUUCCAGGAAAAGCCUCUAAGCAUCAGGUAACAUCAAAUCGUACCCCAAACCGACACAGGUGGUCAGGUAGAGAAUACCAAGGCGCUUGAGAGAACUCGGGUGAAGGAACUAGGCAAAAUGGUGCCGUAACUUCGGGAGAAGGCACGCUGAUAUGUAGGUGAAGCGACUUGCUCGUGGAGCUGAAAUCAGUCGAAGAUACCAGCUGGCUGCAACUGUUUAUUAAAAACACAGCACUGUGCAAACACGAAAGUGGACGUAUACGGUGUGACGCCUGCCCGGUGCCGGAAGGUUAAUUGAUGGGGUUAGCGGCAACGCGAAGCUCUUGAUCGAAGCCCCGGUAAACGGCGGCCGUAACUAUAACGGUCCUAAGGUAGCGAAAUUCCUUGUCGGGUAAGUUCCGACCUGCACGAAUGGCGUAAUGAUGGCCAGGCUGUCUCCACCCGAGACUCAGUGAAAUUGAACUCGCUGUGAAGAUGCAGUGUACCCGCGGCAAGACGGAAAGACCCCGUGAACCUUUACUAUAGCUUGACACUGAACAUUGAGCCUUGAUGUGUAGGAUAGGUGGGAGGCUUUGAAGUGUGGACGCCAGUCUGCAUGGAGCCGACCUUGAAAUACCACCCUUUAAUGUUUGAUGUUCUAACGUUGGCCCGUAAUCCGGGUUGCGGACAGUGUCUGGUGGGUAGUUUGACUGGGGCGGUCUCCUCCUAAAGAGUAACGGAGGAGCACGAAGGUUGGCUAAUCCUGGUCGGACAUCAGGAGGUUAGUGCAAUGGCAUAAGCCAGCUUGACUGCGAGCGUGACGGCGCGAGCAGGUGCGAAAGCAGGUCAUAGUGAUCCGGUGGUUCUGAAUGGAAGGGCCAUCGCUCAACGGAUAAAAGGUACUCCGGGGAUAACAGGCUGAUACCGCCCAAGAGUUCAUAUCGACGGCGGUGUUUGGCACCUCGAUGUCGGCUCAUCACAUCCUGGGGCUGAAGUAGGUCCCAAGGGUAUGGCUGUUCGCCAUUUAAAGUGGUACGCGAGCUGGGUUUAGAACGUCGUGAGACAGUUCGGUCCCUAUCUGCCGUGGGCGCUGGAGAACUGAGGGGGGCUGCUCCUAGUACGAGAGGACCGGAGUGGACGCAUCACUGGUGUUCGGGUUGUCAUGCCAAUGGCACUGCCCGGUAGCUAAAUGCGGAAGAGAUAAGUGCUGAAAGCAUCUAAGCACGAAACUUGCCCCGAGAUGAGUUCU
rnacentral:rRNA from 1 species